rnacentral:misc_RNA from 1 species
AUAACCAUCUAAAAUCAAGGUACUUGCCAAGACGAAUCAAACGAGCCGAAACUCGAUGAGGUUGCGUCGUUUCAUUAUAGAGUUCCUAUGACCACUUUCCAGCUCCACCAUCAGACACUGGUUACCAUUCACCAUCUUCAGAUCCUGGUAUGGAUAAUAGGACUUACUAUUUAAAUUGUUGCAAUGUCAUCGGUCCCGAAGUUUGUAGCAUAUGCAAGAAACAGGUGAUCGGGUAAUAAUAAAAAAUCGCUAAUCCUGAAGAUCUUGGUAAAGAUAACAGGACUAACUGUUUAAAUUAUUGCAUUGUCAUCGGUCCUCGAUAAGUUUCAAUAAAAUCUGAACGUUGGAAGUGGGUCAAAAUGAAGUCCAAAGGAGUCGGUUACAAACAUGCAAACAUACA